rnacentral:lncRNA from 1 species
GUCUCCAGCAAAUGUCUCCUAUUGUCCUUGAGAACUUAUGAGUGUGCCUAGGCUGCACUGUGGCCAAAGGGAUGGGUUCCACUGCCUGGCCUCACCCAGCCAGGGCCCACAUUUUCAAGCUUUGGGCAGGUACCGUCACCUCUAAAUAGCUCUGCUAAGUGCAGGAGAGGGGUUGUUUCCGAAUAAAACCAGAGCGACAAUUACCUGAUAUGUUAGGAGGAGGAACGGAUGCUUGGCGGCCAAAAAUAGAUGGUUUCAGCAAGCGGUGCUUAAAGUUGGCUCUAGAAAAAACAAGUAAAAUUUCGUGUUUUCUCUCAUUUUGAGAUCUUCCACUUUCCCACUGCUUCCCCCCAUUUUCAAUGACUAUUUUACUGUUACACACCAAGACCCUUGCUUUCUAAAGCAAAGGUCAUUGUUAAUAUAUAUUUGGCUUUGACCUACAAUGGCUAAUAUACUGUUAGUCAGUGAAAAACCAGUAAGUACCAAGACCUGGGUUCUCCCUUUGACAAGUCAGUUUAUAAUUUUAGAAGAGCAUUUCUUUAAAGUCUAGAAAGACUAAUACUGACUGAAGAAAAAUGUUACUUAAUAUAAAGUGAUAGAAAACAAAACAGCUUUCAGUAUUCAUCAAUUAUCAUAGUUUCAUGAUCUUUUUACGCUCAUUCCUGUUCUAUACAAUAGAAAGUAGAUAUGUGGGCUCUAAUGUCACCAACAAGAAUUUUAUUUUUAUAUAAACCAGUUUAAAUGCUAAAUAUAAUAAAAUACAAAAUAUUUUACUUGUGUAUUUUGAUCAAGACACAUUUCUCCCUUCCCUUUGCCAUUCUCCUAUAACUUAUUUACCCAACAAUUACUAACGAGCAAUUCCAGGUAUGAUUUUAGGAGCUGGGAACACAAGAUCAAUGCUUUAUCACAUCACUCCCUGAGGAAUCCCAAUCAUAUACUUACAACAACAUACUGUUUGGAUGGAUUAUAAUGAAAGAGGAACCAUACAUAUGUAAAUGAAUAGAAAAUCAUUAUCAGAGUUCCCACUGUGGCUCAGUGGGUUACCAAUCUGACUCAUAUCCAGGAGGAUGUGGGUUCAAUCCCUGGCCCCCCUCAGUGGGUUGUUGCUGCAAGCUAUAGUGUAGGUCACAGAUGUGGCUUGGAUCUGGUGUUACUGUGGCUGUGGCCUAGGCCAGCAGCUACAGCUCCGAUUUGAUCCCCUAGCCUGGAAACUUCACAUGCCUCCAUUGUGGCCCUAGAAAGACACACACACACACACUAAUUAUUAUCACUUCCAGUAUAGCAAGGAUAAUAUUCUACCUUCCAGGAGGAAGAACUAAUUUUAUUUAGAUACACAAAAAUCUCAGUCUGAAAGUUUCUCUGUUUGGGACCAGAGCUACGCCCAAUGUUUCUCUGUCAUCAUUCUCUACCACUGGUGGAGAAGGCUCAAGCACUAGUGGACAGAAAGAGGAUAUGGAGCAUCUACACAGGGCUGUCCUAAAGUGUGGCACAGGUUUGGAAUUUAAGGAAAAAAGAAUUCGAACCCUGCCCUUACUUAUUAUUCAAUAAAUAAGCAUAAAUGUUAAAAAUGAAAAUCCACAUAUGUGAGCCCAUCUUAUGUUAAUACAAAUGAGAAGGCAAAUAGAUAGUUCUUCUGAAUAAUCUAUGUUUUUCCCUUGGAUAUUUGAGGUUACAAAACCAGGGCCCGAGAAAACCAGAUUUUAAGGGAAUUCCUACAAAAAGAUGUUUAGAAGUCUGUCUGUUUCAGAAGCAGCAAAAUAAAAUCUGAUUGGUGAAUGGCUGCUUUGGGUUUUCCUCUGCUUGGCAAGAAUUCUCAGCUCAGUUUUUACCAUAUUCUGUCCCCAUGUGACUCUCGUGUCAUAGAGAGGUGGAGAGGAAAAUGGCCAUGGCUUCCGCCUGUCUGGGUUGGAAUUCUCCCUCUGCCAUGUGCUGGCUGUGUGAUCUUACUCCAGCUCUGUGAAGAGGAUAAAUCAGGAUCUACCCCAGGACUGCUAUGGGGAAGAACUGAAUAAAUACACAUAAACUGCUUAGAACCAUGCCUGCCACAUAGCAAAUUGUAUGAGUUUGGUUAAAUAAACACACCCCACCCAUAGUAAUUUCUCAUAUUUUGUGUUGUCACUCUGGGGUUAUGACUUUAUAAUACCCUCAUAUAACUAUAAAGGAAUAUCUUAUUAUUUGACUUAGCUUAUUCACGGAGGACUACUAAAACUUAAAGGAUGAGAUUGGGAUAUCUAACAUACAAGUGCAUUUUCUAACUCUUCCACUUAAGAUGUCUAUUAGAACUGGUAAGUGUACUUGUAUUUAAUAGAUGAUUUAUAAUGUCAUAUUUCUAUGUGUUCCUCAACGAAUUCACAAUGGUUAUAAAAAUCCAUAAGUAGCACGACAACAAAGGGGAAUAAAAAGGUCUCGUUUCUAGUUGCAGCUUCCCAGUGGUUUUCAUGGUUCAUUUCUGAACACACAUUGGCAAUGGGAAUAUAAACCAGAAAGAAAUUCUUCUGCUAGUUUCCAGAAGAGCCACUGCAGGCUUAGGGAAUUAAGGAAUGAAAGUAAAAGAAUUUCAUGAGCCAUCUGGGAUUCUUUUUCUUUAUCAUUUCCACCUAAUACACGAACUUCUGGAAUAUGAGGAAUUUCUUAACCAGGGUAGUGCUAUCUUCCUAGAAGCCAUUUAAGAAUGUGCAAACACCAUAAACCUCUGCAAGGCUAUUUGUCAAUGAAAUAUCAAUAAAGCUGUGGGGGGAAGAAAGCGUAUGUGCUACUUGCACUUAAUGGGCUUGGAAUAGGGACGCUAGUGGUCUUGCAAAGAGUGGGAGAGCCCUGCAGAAUAAAACACUGAAAUGCUCAGAAUGCCAAGAGCACUGAUCUCCCUGGGUUGGUUCCGAAAGAGAGAAAUGACUCCAGCUUGCAUCAUAGGAGACCUGUGUUGUGGACCUGCUUGAAACUGCAACUAGCUGCAUGACCUGUGGGAGUCCUGGAAUCGCUCUGGAUUUCAUCCUUUAUACAUGGCAUAGUAGAAGUCCAUUUCGCCUCUAUUUCUUCGACUUAGAAGUCUGAAGAUACUUUGCUUUCUUACGAUGCAAUGACUUUACUUGUCAUCAAUAUCCUCUCCAGGUGACAGGGGGACAUGAUGUCAAUGCAUUUGAAGCCACAACUGUAGGCAAAUAUUAUUCUGUAAAUAUUCCAACAAGUCUUUAACAAAAAAUAUUUCAUUUUAAUUGGAUUAAAAAAACCAACACAUUUAAUUUUGUUUGUUUGUUUGUUUGUUUUUUUUGUUGUUGUUGUUGCUAUUUCUUGGGCCGCUCCCACGGCAUAUGGAGGUUCCCAGGCUAGGGGUUGAAUCGGAGCUGUAGCCACCGGCCUACGCCAGAGCCAGAGCCACAGCAACGCGGGAUCCGAACCGCGUCUGCAACCUACACCACAGCUCAGGGCAACGCCGGAUCGUUAACCCACUGAGCAAGGGCAGGGACCGAACCCGCAACCUCAUGGUUCCUAGUCGGAUUCGUUAACCACUGCGCCACAACGGGAAUUCCUAAUUUUUAAUGUGAAAAUAUUAUCAUUCUCUAAUGUGAUACAUCAAAAUUGCAGUUUGUUCCUAUUCAAAGCCAAAACAGAAAGCGGCUUCCAAAAAUGUAACAGUACAUAACAACUGUUAUUAAUAUUAUAUAAUUUCUUCAUUUCAUAAAUAUUAAAUAAGUACAUAAUAAGAAAAGACCUAUUUAACAAGCACGGCUAAUGAUCACCUUUAUAAAGACAAUUUAUCAGCAAAUUCGACUGUGUUUAGAUUUGAUAUUUCAGAGUGUGUAUCCUGGACUAAUAAGCAUAACUCACCCAAAGUUAUUAUAUUCAAUCUGUAACUUCUAAUAAAAGGUCCCCUGAAGUAUAGCAUAUUCUUUACAUUGUGAGCACCUGAGGUUUAGCUUUUUCGUUUUUAUUAUAAAACUACUUAUUCAGACAACUAGGCUCAUUCUACAUAAAGCGAACAUUCAUUAAAUAUUGAUGUUACGAUAAUAAGAAAGAAGUCUAACACAAUAUACUCUUGCUUUGCUGAAAACCAAGGGUGAAAAGCUUUUCACACAGUAUUUUUUCCCUUCAAAAAAGAAGUUGGUUAUCAAUAUCAUGCAAGCUUCUUGUGAAAAUGGGGUUGAUAUAUGCUUCUGAGACCAAGUUCCUUGGGGAAAAAUUUUAUCCAUUUGAGUCAAGAGAGCCACGGUAAGAGCUCUGCACACAGGCACUCAGUCCAUUCCGACAGAUUCACUCAUCUGUUCUCGCAUUGCAGUUCCGUUUUGUGACCCAAAAUCAAAUGUGUAAAAGCCAAUAUGGGAUAAAAAUUGGCAAACUCUGAUCCAAAAUAGAUUUCUUCAAGAAGUCUCCAAAUCUUUGCACUCCUGAUGGAUCCUACUACAACAAUAUGUUUUUUGUGGCAAAUGAAUCAAAAUAAGUAAAAUAAUUUCUUCAUCCUCCAGUGGCCUAUUAAAUCCAUUUUACUGUCUAAAUAUACACGUACUAUGAGAGAAAAGGAUACAUGAAAGGGUUUUUCAUUUGUUUUGUUUACUUUGUAGGGAAAUACAUUGCUUUUUGUUUGAAAUAAAAGGUGUCUUCUCACGUCUUUUACAACACUAACAAAUAAUCAUUUAUGUCAUAUCAAUAGUUAUUGCUAACAGCUAAUAUCACUCAUAUCUUGGCUGGAAAGACUACACGGUUUUAUUUUUUUAAUCUUCUCUCAAAAAACAUAAAAAACUAGAGUCCUGGUUAUGGUUAAGCAGGUUAAGAACCUGACAUAGUCUCCAGGAGGAUGUGGGUUCCAUCCCUGGCCUGGUUAAGGAUCUGGCGUUGCUGUGNUGGUGUAGGCUGGCAGCUGCAGCUCUGAUUCGAACCCUAGUCUGGCAACUUCCAAAUGCCACAGGUGUGGCUGUUAAAAGAAAAAGGAAACUAAAAACAAACAAACAAAAAACCCAAAACAAAAAUUUUAAAAAUCAGGAGUUCCUNGGAUUUUAAAGUACUUUUUAUGUGAAAGAUAUGAACAUGUGGCUAUUCAUUUAUAUCAUGAGCUGAAUUCACUUUGAAAAGAUAAAAAUUAUAUAUUUUUAAAAUGGUUAAUUUUUCCCAUUGUAAAGUGACUGUGUGCUUAUUAUAAAACCUUGGAUAAUAAUGAAUUAAAAUUAAGAAAAUUAUGUAAAGAAAAUUAUAGCUAUCAUUUUGGUGCAUACACAUAUAAUGUUUUAACAUUUUAACAUGAAUAUUAUUUAAAUUAACAUAUUUAUGCAAAGAAAUGAAUCUGAUGGUAUCCAUGAGAACACAGGACACAGGUUUGAUUCCUGGCCUUGCUCAGAGGGUUAAGGAUCUGGCAUUGCUGUGAGAUGUGGUGUAGGUUGCAGGCAUGGCUCGGAUCCCGCGUGGCUAUGGCAUAGGCCAGUGGCUACAGCUCCGAUUUGACCCCUAGCCUGGGAACUUCCAUAUGCCAUGGGUGCAGCCCUAAAACGACACACACACACACACAAAAAAAAAAAAAAA